rnacentral:rRNA from 1 species
UCCUACGGGGGGCAGCAGUGAGGAAUAUUGGUCAAUGGGCGAGAGCCUGAACCAGCCAAGUCGCGUGAGGGAAGACGGUCCUAUGGAUUGUAAACCUCUUUUGCCGGGGAGCAAAAAGCGGUACGUGUACCGCAUCGAGAGUACCCGGAGAAAAAGCAUCGGCUAACUCCGUGCCAGCAGCCGCGGUAAUACGGAGGAUGCGAGCGUUAUCCGGAUUUAUUGGGUUUAAAGGGUGCGCAGGCGGCGAGUUAAGUCAGCGGUAAAAUUUCGGGGCUCAACCCCGACGCGCCGUUGACACUGGCUUG